rnacentral:rRNA from 1 species
GCAUUAUACCGUGAAACUGCGAAUGGCUCAUUAAAUCAGUUAUCGUUUAUUUGAUAGUACCUUACUACUUGGAUAACCGUGGUAAUUCUAGAGCUAAUACAUGCUAAAAACCCCGACUUCGGGAGGGGUGUAUUUAUUAGAUAAAAAACCAAUGCCCUUCGGGGCUCUUUGGUGAUUCAUGAUAACUUAACGGAUCGCAUGGCCUUGCGCCGGCGACGGUUCAUUCAAAUUUCUGCCCUAUCAACUUUCGAUGGUAAGGUAUUGGCUUACCAUGGUUUCAACGGGUAACGGGGAAUUAGGGUUCGAUUCCGGAGAGGGAGCCUGAGAAACGGCUACCACAUCCAAGGAAGGCAGCAGGCGCGCAAAUUACCCAAUCCCGACUCGGGGAGGUAGUGACAAUAAAUACUGAUACAGGGCUCUUUUGGGUCUUGUAAUCGGAAUGAGUACAAUUUAAACCCCUUAACGAGGAACAAUUGGAGGGCAAGUCUGGUGCCAGCAGCCGCGGUAAUUCCAGCUCCAAUAGCGUAUAUUAAAGUUGUUGCAGUUAAAAAGCUCGUAGUUGAACCUUGGGCCUGGCUGGCCGGUCCGCCUCACCGCGUGUACUGGUCCGGCCGGGCCUUUCCUUCUGGAGAGCCGCAUGCCCUUCACUGGGUGUGUUGGGGAACCAGGACUUUUACUUUGAAAAAAUUAGAGUGUUCAAAGCAGGCCUUUGCUCGAAUACGUUAGCAUGGAAUAAUAGAAUAGGACGUGCGGUCCUAUUUUGUUGGUUUCUAGGACCGCCGUAAUGAUUAAUAGGGAUAGUCGGGGGCAUCAGUAUUCAAUUGUCAGAGGUGAAAUUCUUGGAUUUAUUGAAGACUAACUACUGCGAAAGCAUUUGCCAAGGAUGUUUUCAUUAAUCAGUGAACGAAAGUUAGGGGAUCGAAGACGAUCAGAUACCGUCGUAGUCUUAACCGUAAACUAUGCCGACUAGGGAUCGGGCGAUGUUUCUAUCUUGACUCGCUCGGCACCUUACGAGAAAUCAAAGUUUUGGG